AACGAACGCUGGCGGCAUGCCUAACACAUGCAAGUCGAACGAGACCUUCGGGUCUAGUGGCGCACGGGUGCGUAACACGUGGGAAUCUGCCCUUUGCUUCGGAAUAACAGUUAGAAAUGACUGCUAAUACCGGAUGAUGUCGAAAGACCAAAGAUUUAUCGGCAAAGGAUGAGCCCGCGUAGGAUUAGGUAGUUGGUGGGGUAAAGGCCUACCAAGCCGACGAUCCUUAGCUGGUCUGAGAGGAUGAUCAGCCACACUGGGACUGAGACACGGCCCAGACUCCUACGGGAUGCAGCAGUGGGGAAUAUUGGACAAUGGGCGAAAGCCUGAUCCAGCAAUGCCGCGUGAGUGAUGAAGGCCUUAGGGUUGUAAAGCUCUUUUACCAGGGAUGAUAAUGACAGUACCUGGAGAAUAAGCUCCGGCUAACUCCGUG
rnacentral:rRNA from 1 species